UACGUAGGGGGCGAGCGUUGUCCGGAUUUAUUGGGCGUAAAGAGCUCGUAGGCGGUUUGGUAAGUCGGGUGUGAAAUCUCCACGCUCAACGUGGAGGGGCCACUCGAUACUGCCAUGACUCGAGUCCGGUAGAGGAGUGUGGAAUUCCCGGUGUAGCGGUGAAAUGCGCAGAUAUCAGGAGGAACACCAACGGCGAAGGCAGCUCUCUGGGACGUAACUGACGCUGAGACGCGAAAGCGUGGGGAGCAAACAGG
rnacentral:rRNA from 1 species